rnacentral:rRNA from 1 species
GCCAUUCCGAGGGCAUGCCUGUUUGAGUAUCAUGAACACCUCAACUCUUCAUGGUUUCCAUGAUGAGCUUGGACUUUGGGGGGUUUUGCUGGCCUAUGGUCAGCUCCCCUAAAAUGAAUCAGCUUGCCAGUGUUUGGUGGGCAUCACAGGUGUGAUAACUAUCUACGCUUGUGGUUUUCCACCAGGUAGCCUCCAGCAGUGGAGGUUCACUGGAGCUCACAGAUGUCUCUCCUCAGUGAGGACAGCCCUUUGAAUGUUGACCUCAAAUCAGGUAGGAAUACCCGCUGAACUUAAGCAUAUCAAUAAGCGGAGG